GUGGGGAAUAUUGGACAAUGGGCGAAAGCCUGAUCCAGCCAUGCCGCGUGUGUGAAGAAGGUCUUCGGAUUGUAAAGCACUUUAAGUUGGGAGGAAGGGCAGUAAGUUAAUACCUUGCUGUUUUGACGUUACCGACAGAAUAAGCACCGGCUAACUUCGUGCCAGCAGCCGCGGUAAUACGAAGGGUGCAAGCGUUAAUCGGAAUUACUGGGCGUAAAGCGCGCGUAGGUGGUUUUGUAAGUUGGAGGUGAAAUCCCCGGGCUCAACCUGGGAACUGCCUCCAAAACUGGAUGACUAGAGUACGGUAGAGGGUAGUGGAAUUUCCUGUGUAGCGGUGAAAUGCGUAGAUAUAGGAAGGAACACCAGUGGCGAAGGCGACUACCUGGACUGAUACUGACACUGAGGUGCGAAAGCGUGGGGAGCAAACAGGAUUAGAAACCCCGGUAGUCC
rnacentral:rRNA from 1 species